GAUCAACGCUGGCGGCGUGCUUAACACAUGCAAGUCGAACGAAGUUUUUCCUUCGGGAGCAACUUAGUGGCGGACGGGUGAGUAACGCGUGGGUAACCUGCCCUGUACAGGGGGACAACAGCUGGAAACGGCUGCUAAUACCGCAUAAGCACUUAGCACUGCAUGGUGCAUAGGGAAAAGGAGCAAUCCGGUACAGGAUGGACCCGCGUCUGAUUAGCCAGUUGGCAGGGUAACGGCCUACCAAAGCGACGAUCAGUAGCCGAUCUGAGAGGAUGUACGGCCACAUUGGGACUGAGACACGGCCCAGACUCCUACGGGAGGCAGCAGUGGGGAAUAUUGCACAAUGGAGGAAACUCUGAUGCAGCGACGCCGCGUGAGUGAAGAAGUAUUUCGGUAUGUAAAGCUCUAUCAGCAGGGAAGAAAAUGACGGUACCUGACGAAGAAGCACCGGCUAAAUACGUG
rnacentral:rRNA from 1 species